CAUCCAACCCUAGCUAUGUUCCUUCCCCUACCGCCGCCGCUCCCUUCCUUUUCUACCUCCUGCCAGCACACGCGCUCCGCGUCCGGCGACAACCGCUCGUCGCCGUCCUCUUCCGCAAGCGCAUGCAGCAGCCUCCGUCGCCGUCUUCUGCAAGCUCUGCCUCGUUACAGCGCACGCCGGACCUGCUUUUCGUCGAUCUCGUGUGCGCCGUCAAGCUCUGCGACCACGCGCGCGUCCUGCACGUCAUACUGGUCACGGCGCCUCGCCAAGAGCUUCGUCUUCCUCGCUGGCCGUCGGGCUCCCAGCACGUUCUCGUCAUCAACGACCUGCACCGCGUCCGCAAAUCGUCGUCGUUAUCCGUCUCCGCCGUGCGCCGUUGCGCGCCGCUACCUCACCUUCGCCGGUAGCCGCCAGCACCGCCGCGCGCCCUCAUCUCCGCCUGAUCGCGGAGCUGCAGCCAAGACCCCGCCCCAUCAACAAGUUCCCUGGCCACCCGCCACGGCCGCGUAUGCCUUUUCUUGAUCUCCGUCAGCUGCAUCGAAGCGUCGCCGGCCUCCUGUUUCCGUUCGUCGCCGCCAUGGUCUCCACCACGAGCCGGACGGCUUCGUCCUCGGCCUCCCAGGGCCAACGCGGUCUGCGCACCGCCGUUCUUUUCGGUCGCGCCUCCACAGAGUGUUUCCGCCGGCCAGCGCUCAAGCUCAUCUCCACGCCGCCGGUCGGUUCUCGUCCAACCUACAUGCACCAAGCCUCCGCGUUACAGAGAUGGAUCAAAGUCUGUGCGUGUCCUUUUCAACCAACAACUGCAGCGAAGUCUAGAUGGUUCGUUCCAUGUCUUUAGUUUGAGUGAUCCUGUGUUCAAAUCCUUUGGCAGCCCAAUAAAAUAAGCAACCUUUUUGGUCUCUUGCAUGUGUACAGCGGGUCCCAUCUGUCAUGGACCUGGGCUAGCACUUCCUUCGGUGAGUGAACACGCACCAGCAGCGUCGCCACGUCAGCCGCCGCAUCAGCACUCUUUGGUCCCACCGUCAGCCGAUGUGGCUAGCUCUUCUCCUGCAUUUGCUUCUUCCCGGAUAGGAUCACGAAGUGGUGGUGAGAUACGACAAGUUCUCCGGAUGUCCCUCGGCAAGCUUUAACAGGCAAGCAUUUUCCCUUAUACUCCUGCCCCUGCAGAAGUCGCUCACCUAUUUUAUUUUGCCUUCUCCCUCAUGCUAUCCUUAAGUUGCGUUCUUGUCACGUGUCCCUUCCACUUGUUACCUCAAGCAGCCCAUAUUGCCACCACCAACCACCAACCUCCUACAGCUGUUGUUUGGUUAUCGGGUCUGCCUUGCGAGUCGUAGUGCAUGCUAGUGCUGUUAUAUCUCGUUACCGUUACCGCUAUCUUAUCGGUUAUCUAUUGGGAAUCAUGACACAUGCUACAUGUUUAUAUCUGUUGAGGGUAUCAUGGUUACUUGUUAAUAGUUGUUAGCGGAGGCAUCGGUGGGUCAGCUGGUCGUUUUGUGACGGCUCACUUGUGUUUCCUAAAUAUCUUAGGACCCCGAGUUCUUGUUAUCUGUUCCGAGACUGAGCGCUCUAACCACACGUGGGUAUGUUUCUGGGUCUCCCCUCGACCACUGCCGGAAUCUACAGCUUUGUCCGAUGGCCACAACUAGUUUGCAAUGUUUUACCAUUUGUUGUUGCGUGCAUGCCGACUUGUUACUUAUUUACUUUGGGAAGCCCCUGGGUGCCUUGUAUCCCUUGUUUCUGGUAUGCACGCAUAGGUCGCGGAGCCACUGCGAAGUGGUUUAUCGCCCCAGUGUGUGUUUAAACCACCUAGUACGCUGUCGCAAACAGCUAGGUCCGCUUCGGAGAUACGGCCGAACUUCGAUACGGGUUCAACUUAGUUAGGUGGCUUCCUGGACAUUGUUGUCGUGACGGAGAGUGCGAGUCGUGAUGCUCCACCUUUUUGCCAUUUGCCUUUGGAGUUGAUCGUGCGUGUGGGCACAUUUGGGCACCCCUGCAGGGUUAAAUCUUAUCGAUAAGCCGCGUCCGCGGUUAUGGACGACUUGGAGCUGUAUGACUCGAUCAUAGACAACUUACACCUGUUGUUUAUUAAUAAUAACUUGCGUAGUAAGUUAGUACAACUUCAAUAAUAAAUGGUUAAAACUUGACAACCGUGUGAGUGCCUUUGUAAGUACUUCCUUGCGAGGGGGGAACGCAUCGGCUGUGUUAUGUUUGCAGAGUAUAGAACUGUUAGUUUAUGCGCUCUCUCACCUUCUCUGAUAGACGACUGUUGUAGAGUGUCUCUAUAGGUUUUUAGUGCUUGCGCGCUGCCGCUUAACCCCACCAUAUUGCCUAUGACGUUCCUCUUGCGUCCUCUAAGUCCCCUGCGUGCCUCAAGUACAAAGGACGACUGGUUGACGAAUGCUUAUACGUCUUGAAGUCUUGUUAAGUACGAACCCGUACUUAUUGCUGCUUCUACGGGACAUAACCGGGCAGGUAUGAAGAUCGGUUCGAUGAAGACGACGUUAGCAGGGUUACCCUUCCGGCUUGGCCUGGGCAGGGUUAUGGACGCCACUGGUUAUCUUCAGGACUCUUAGUCCAAUUUGUAUCUUGUCCGUACUCGGACGUAUUCGAUCUUCUAUAUGAUUUGGAUCUUUGUAUUGUAUAUUUGUAUCUUGACUCGUUGGAGUCGUUGUUGUAAUAUAUGUAUCUUGUGGGCUCUAUUGUAAUCCUGUUGUAAUGUUACCGCUCGUGUUAAUUCCUCU